GUCUGAAAUUACACCUGUUUAGAGGAUGCAUUGUCACUUCCUCUUCCUCUUUUCAGUUUGUCUUGCAAGUUAUAACAAGACAAGAUGAGGGCUAAGUGGAGAAAGAAGCGUAUGAGGAGGCUGAAGCGCAAAAGGAGGAAGAUGAGGGCAAGGUCCAAGUAGAUUUGCCCCGUAACCUUCACACGAUCGGCUGACUAGCCUACAUCUGCAGACUGUCAUUUGUGACAAAAUAACUUUGGAAUGCAAGUUACCACUUGUGUUCUUGUGAGGAAGAAAUUAUGAAGAUGAUGAAGAAGAAGAUGAUGAUGAUGAAUAGUGUUGAUUUUGUGAGCCAUCUCAGAUGGAUCAGAUAUCGCACACCCUUGUCACUAAUGAUGGUUCAAGCAUACCAGUAGGUCAAUUUCAACUCAACUUUUCCCCUCAUCUCGUCGCCAAGGCAACAACACAACAGCAGCAACAACAACAUUGUGAUGCACCAUCUGAAGAGGCUACCGUCGUAUAAACCAAUGGUCAACUUGAAACAUCUCUGGGACACAUACAGGAGAGAACUCCCUGACGUGCACAUCUGCAAUGGGUGGGCAGGUUAAUAGUUUCGAUGGUGGACCUCAUCUUAUGGUGGUCAUUCGAAGUUGAAUCUAUUGGUUUUGGGAUGCAAGGUUGGUGAGCAGGACUAGUAAACACCUCAUCAGUCGGACACUACAGUAGACUCUGAAUUGUGUGAAGGAAUAAAAAAAAAAUUAGAAAGAAAAAAA